rnacentral:rRNA from 1 species
UACGUAGGGGGCAAGCGUUGUCCGGAAUCAUUGGGCGUAAAGAGCGUGUAGGCGGUCCGGUAAGUCGGCUGUGAAAGUCCAGGGCUCAACCCUGGGAUGCCGGUCGAUACUGCCGGACUAGAGUUCGGAAGAGGCGAGUGGAAUUCCCGGUGUAGCGGUGAAAUGCGUAGAUAUUGGGAGGAACACCAGUGGCGAAGGCGGCUCACUGGACCGGUUCUGACGCUGAGGCGCGAAAGCGUGGGGAGCAAACGGG